AAAGAGAUAUAGUUCAAAUGGUAGAACAAUAGAUUUUAUGCGUGGGUUCGACUCCCACUCUCGUUA
rnacentral:tRNA from 1 species